AUCCCAGCUCCAAUAGCGUAUAUUAAUGUUGUUGCAGUUAAAAAGCUCGUAGUUGGAUUUCUGGAUUGAGCGGCUGGCCUUGCGCGCAAGCGUUCGUGUCGGCUUCGUUUCGGUCCAUCCUCAGGGGGACUUGCGCUGGCAUUAACGUGUCGGUGUUGGGACGCCUGUCGUUUACUGUGAACAAAUUAGAGUGUUCAAAGCAAGGUGUACUUGAAUACAUUAGCAUGGAAUAAUAAGAUAGGACUUUGGUGGUUCUUUUUGAUAUUUUGUUGGUUUGCACGCCAAAGUAAUGAUUAAUAGGAGCAGUUGGGGGUAUUCGUAUUCAAUUGUCAGAGGUGAAAUUCUUGGAUUUAUAGAAGACGAACUACUGCGAAAGCAUUUACCAAGGAUGUUUUCAUUA
rnacentral:rRNA from 1 species